ensembl:lncRNA
UGAAGACCAAUUUGCACGAGCCCCAGUGACUGCAGCGAGCCUCUGAGCCCCAAACCUCAGGGCUGCAGCUCAGCAUCCCAACCAAAGUGCUGCAGGAGCUGUGCAGGAGGAGGGCUGCGUUCUCCGUAGCACCGCUGAAAUCCGCCACGGGUGCACGUUUGAAUUUUAAAGAGCUUCGCUUUCCAGAAUGAAUGAAAAACAGGAGAGAUGCUCAGAAAAGCCAGUUCACCCGCCAGCCAGUCUGGAGACCAACGAGGAUCCAAACGCUCUGAUUCCAGGAUAGCUCAGCUGUAGGAUGACAGAGGCAGCAGCCAUGAAAACUUGUCCCAGGGAGAGCAAUUUGCGUGCACUAUUGAGAAAGCAGCCCUGAGACAAGUUCCUGUGGGUCUGUAGGGGAACAAAGAACACGGAGUUAAGGCUUGGAGUGGAGGAGGAGGUGAACUCUCACUGUUAUGAUCGGUUUUUGCUUUUGAUUUUUGCCUUCGGGGCAAGUGGGGAUGAGUCCCCAGAGCAGCCCAACACAGCUUCAGGCUCCAUGCAGCCUUCUACCUCCAUCCAGGGCUGCUGGCCAUCAGUGAGGACCUGCUGCAUCAAACCCUUCUGUCCAAACAGGAUCCAUGGUUUUAAACACGCCAUUUAGCUCCGUUGUUCAAAUGGAAAACACAGAAAUCAGAGCCUCUGGCAGGUAAUGCUGCGUCGGAUGGGGCAUGGUGAGCACUGCAAGCAAAUGGAGAGAAGAAAUGGAAUAGCUGGGAGAUGAGCAUUGCAAGCAGGGGUGUGCGCCCUAAACAGGAGGGUUAACCAGGGCUUAUUCAGAAGGAAGGCAGUAAUUGCAGCCUGUGUGAAGCAGUAAUAUCCUUUUGUGCAUUAUUUACCCGGGAACAUCUGCUAAUACAUAUACAUUCUAUGGUGCAUGUAAACAACCUGCGCAGGAAGAGGAUUAGGAGAUUUAUAAAAAAUUAGAAGCGAGUUAAAAGGGCAAUUAGAAGAGCAGAAAGAGAUAUUGAGCAGUGAAUUAGAGAGGAUAUUUUAACACACAAUCAGAGCUUCCCGAGACGUAUCCAGAGCAGAGAGAAGGUAAAAGAGAAAAUUGGUCAAUUACGCCAUGAUAGCGGGGAAUUGGUGACAUGGGAGAAGAUAAUGGCUGAUUUGUUAAACAGUUAUUUUGAUUCUGUUUGCACAAAGGAGGAAGAGGAUGGAGGGCACUGCUGGAAAGGACUCAAGCUGAGCAGAUGAAACGGGGAAUGAACCAAGGAGAAAUAAAGACCUGUUGUAGAGCAGAUGGGUGUGGGCAGAAUUUCACCCAUAUCCGUCGGAUGGGGGAAAAAUGGGUUUAUUUAUGUUGUUUGGUUGCACAGAGCUGGCUUUGGCCCUCCAGCCCCAGAGCUAUCGAGGUGGACCCAGAGACAAAAAGUCCUCUGCCUCUGGGGGAGGACGGAGCAUGUAGAGGGACAGACAGAUGACCAUGCACAGCGGCGGUUCUCAUGGUGUGUCCUCUGCAUGGGGAUGGAGGUGGUUUGGUUCUCCAGUGAUGCCACCACACCACCUUCCCAGAAACACCUUUUGUCACUGCUGUGGCCAUGUGUCCUUUCACUGUAUUUGCUUUUGUUUCUCAUCCAGCCUGCAGACCUCAGCAUGGCAAGCCAUGCAAGCACGUCUCCCAUCACCAUUCCCAUCUGUAUGCUGGUGUUGACCAUCUCGUGUUUCACUGGGGCGAGAUGCAAGGGAUGGCAAAGAGGAAUUAUGUCAGCCCACGAGAUCUCAGGGAGAUUGUAAGCAAUAGAAAAAGGAAACGUUCGCGAGCAUGCAAUGGAAAAUGUGAUCUUGGGCUGUGUUUGUGGGGUUGUGCUGGAAACUAAGGCAAAAUGGGAUGGAAAGCAUUGGUGCAGGGUGGAUUUAGGGAAGGCUGCAUUCGAUGGACCACAGAAAUUGGUCCAUUGGUCCAUUACUUUGGCUGAGGAGAAAUGUGAAGUGAUGCGUUAGUUCUGCAGUCCCUCUGAAGUGGGGAGUGCAUCUCACAGCAACUUGCUGAGACAAGGGAGGUAAAUUGGAAAAGAUAACGUGGGGGCACAGUGUUGUCCAGGCAGUGAUGGAGAACGUGCCAUGUGAUGCUGCUUUUGCCUGGUGCACUGAAAAUUUAUUCUCAACAUCUGAGAAGUGCUCAGUUUUUGUCCUGCCUGGAGGAUGAGAGACACAGCGUUGCGUGUUUUGUGUUUCCAAAGCGUGUAGGAAAAGCUGUGUAUUAGCAAUUACAGGAUGAAACUGUGGAAGAAUGCUACAAUGGUUAGAAAAUUGGCUCCGACUCAGGAAACGGGAUUCUGCAGCCGUGAGCGCAUUUCCAGAGGCACAGUGUGGGGUCUCUUCUAGGUUCUCUUUCAUUUAUUUUUUUUAAGGGAAGGAUUUGCAUGAACAGCCCAAAGUGAGAGUGUUAAAGCUCAGCGAUGCAAACAAAUAAAGGGGGAGCAGGCACACUGGAAGAGCCUUCUCUUUUCUGACCUCUUUGGAGUGCCACCUCCUCUUGACACCUCUAGCCCAGCUCUGGACAUCCCUGUCUCCACUGAACUGAGGGGAUGAGCACUUUGGGAUGGGCAUUUUUGGACAUGCAUUUUGAGAUGGGCACUUUGGGAUGCAUACUUUGGGAUGGGUGCUUGGGGAUGGGCGCUUUGGGAUGCAUGCUUUGGGACAUGCACAUAGGGAUGGGUUCUUUGGGAUGGACACCUUGGGAUGCAUGCUUUGGGACAUGAAUGCUGGGAUGGGCACUUUGGGAUGAACGCCUUGGGAUGUGUACUUUGGGGUUGUGGGAGCGCUGCCUGUGAGAAGAUGGGAUUUCUGCCAGCCUCACAUCAACCUUCACAAUGCAUGAAGACAACAUUGCACGAAGGGAUCGUGAGAACCACACGGGAGCCAACCAGGGGCCGUAGCAGAGCUGCAGCAUGCAGAUGGAAAGGUAGUUAUUGAGGAGAAGUGUCAGAGCAUGCCAUAAAAAUUUAGUUUAUCCUCAGAGAGCUGUGGUUGUCGAG